rnacentral:tRNA from 1 species
GCGAGCGUGGCGGAAUGGUAGACGCGCUGUCUUCAGGUGGCAGUGAGCGUAUGCUCGUGCGGGUUCAAGUCCCGCCGCUCGCACGA